rnacentral:misc_RNA from 1 species
GAUGAAGAAACGCAGCGAAAUGCGAUACGUAGUGUGAAUUGCAGAAUUCCGUGAACCAUCGAAUCUUUGAACGCAAAUUGCGCUCGAGGCCUCGGCUAAGAGCAUGUCUGGCUCAGCGUCGGCUUACUACCCUCAAUCAAUUACCUUGUGAUGAUUGGUUGGAGCUGGCUUUCCGGUGUUCCAAUCAGGUUGCCGGUCAGCUGAAAAACAUUCACGCUGUGGAAGUCGCUUUCCCUUCAAAAAGGAAAGCCGAGUUCCGAUUUGGUAGGUGACCUUUGCCGGUUGCAUGCCUUCGUUGCUCGUUUUGGCUUUCAUGAUAGCGUGUGCAGGACGCCAUUUUGGCUUUCGACCUGAGCUCAGGCAAGAACACCCGCUGAACUUAAGCAUAUCAAUAAGCGGAGGA